rnacentral:rRNA from 1 species
GACGAACGCUGGCGGCGUGCUUAACACAUGCAAGUCGAACGGUAAGGCCCUUCGGGGUACACGAGUGGCGAACGGGUGAGUAACUCGUGGGUGAUCUGCCCCGCACUUCGGGAUAAGCCUGGGAAACUGGGUCUAAUACCGGAUAGGACCACUGCCUGCAUGGGUGGUGGUGGAAAGCUUUUGCGGUGUGGGAUGGGCCCGCGGCCUAUCAGCUUGUUGGUGGGGUGAUGGCCUACCAAGGCGACGACGGGUAGCCGGCCUGAGAGGGUGACCGGCCACACUGGGACUGAGAUACGGCCCAGACUCCUACGGGAGGCAGCAGUGGGGAAUAUUGCACAAUGGGCGCAAGCCUGAUGCAGCGACGCCGCGUGAGGGAUGACGGCCUUCGGGUUGUAAACCUCUUUCAGCACCGACGAAGCGCAAGUGACGGUAGGUGCAGAAGAAGGACCGGCCAACUACGUGCGAGCCGCCGCAGUAA